GGACAGAGAACAGUGGACACACAGUUUAACAUGAUGGACUACAGGACAGGACUGCUGCUUUUAACUGUCUGCUGGGCAGGUGUUGAUGGUCAGACUCUGACAGAAUCUGAACCAGUGGUUAAAAGGCCUGGAGAAUCUCACCGACUGACCUGUACAGGUUCUGGAUUCACAUUCAGCAGCUACGGGAUGCACUGGGUCAGACAGGCUCCUGGAAAAGGACUGGAGUGGGUUUCUGCUAUCAGCAGUAGUGGUGGCAGCACUUACUACUCUCAGUCAGUCCAAGGCCGGUUUACCAUCUCCAGAGACAACAGCAGACAGCAGGUGUAUCUGCAGAUGAACAGUCUGAAGACUGAAGAUUCUGCUGUUUAUUAUUGUGCUCGAGACUCACAGUGACUGGAGUUGGUGGAGCAGCUGUACAAAAUCUUUCAGUCACAUUGGCUCCAGUCAGACCAGUCUUGAUGUUUGAUGUUUUGAUACACUGAUGGCAGCAGAAACAUUUAUGUCAGCAGUGUGCAAGGACGUGUAGAAAUCAGGAGAGAUUAUAGUACCAGUGUGGGGUAUCUGAGACUGUCCAGCCUGAAGCCAGAGGACUCUGAGACAGACAGACACUGGAUAAAGGAAGCAGAGAGACUUUACAAAAACACCACAGAAUAUUUGUUCACAAACACCAGCAGGUGGCAGCAGAACUUAAGUCAGAUGACACUCAAGCUCGAACACACAAAACACACACACUAUGAAAGUCCCAGCAGAUGUUGUGAGGAGUGACAUCCUGUUUGUCAGUGUUACAUUGAAUGUGCCUUUUCACAGUAAUGAUGGUUAAUAAUGUUCUCAUUAUUGAUCUUCAGCCCACCAAAUGUUGCUGGCCUGAAUCAGUUUGGGUAUAAAUUUAUGUUCUGGUUUGAUAACUUGAAAACCUUUUAAAUAAUCAAAAACAUCCUAAUUAAUAUUAAUUAUAACCAUAACAUCAACAUUUGUUAUAUAUAUCUGUAUAGAAGGGCCUUUCACAGUGAAAGUCACAGAGAAAAGGUGGCAACUCCUCUUUAAAUUCUGAACAUGCUGCAUACACCUUGAGCUGCUUGACAG